rnacentral:lncRNA from 1 species
GUUUGUUGUCCUUAUAUGACAAUACAAUUAUGUUAUUUGAACAUCAAAAUACAGACACGACGUUGUAUAUGUUUAUCUUUAUUUCUUUUAGUAUCUUGUAUCAAAAUUUAAUUCACAAUCAAAAUCGUAGUUGAUCUAACUACACAAUCAACCACAAUGUCACAGUUUUGAACGUGAUUUAAAUUAACCAUCUAUUCAAAUUCAAC